UUCAAGUCUUUAAGAGCAAACGGUGGAUGCCUUGGCAUCUGGAGCCGAAGAAGGACGUAGCAAUCUGCGAUAAGCCUCGGGGAACUGAUAAGCGAGUUUUGAUCCGAGGGUGUCCGAAUGGGGAAACCCCGCCAGGCGUUUGUGCGACCUGGUGACUCCCGCCUGAAUAUAUAGGGCGGGUAGAGGGAACGCGGGGAAGUGAAACAUCUCAGUACCCGCAGGAAGAGAAAACAACAUGUGAUUCCGUGAGUAGUGGCGAGCGAAAGCGGAUGAGGCUAAACCGGGUGUGUGUGAUAGCCGGCAGGCGUUGCAUGCCCGGGGUUGUGGGACCCUCUUAAUCAUUCUGCCGAGUGGUUGACGUGAUGCGCGAGUGUAGACGAACGGUCUUGAAAGGCCGGCCAUAGUGGGUGCCAGCCCCGUAGUCGAAAUGCUUGGUGCAGCGUGGAGGGGAUCCCAAGUAGCACGGGGCCCGUGAAAUCCCGUGUGAAUCUGUCAGGACCACCUGAUAAGCCUAAAUACUCCCAGAUGACCGAUAGCGGACAAGUACCGUGAGGGAAAGGUGAAAAGUACCCCGGGAGGGGAGUGAAAUAGUACCUGAAACCGUUUGCUUACAAACCGUUGGAGCCUCCUUAGUAGGGGUGACAGCGUGCCUUUUGAAGAAUGAGCCUGCGAGUUAGUGAUAUGUGGCGAGGUUAACCCGUGUGGGGUAGCCGUAGCGAAAGCGAGUCUGAAUAGGGCGAUUCAGUCGCAUGUCCUAGACCCGAAGCGAAGUGAUCUAUCCAUGGCCAGGCUGAAGCGACGGUAAGACGUCGUGGAGGGCCGAACCCACUUAGGUUGAAAACUGAGGGGAUGAGCUGUGGAUAGGGGUGAAAGGCCAAUCAAACUUCGUGAUAGCUGGUUCUCUCCGAAAUGCAUUUAGGUGCAGCGUUGCGUGUUUCUUGCCGGAGGUAGAGCUACUGGAUGGCCGAUGGGCCCGACCAGGUUACUGACGUCAGCCAAACUCCGAAUGCCGGUAAGUGAGAGCGCAGCAGUGAGACUGUGGGGGAUAAGCUUCAUAGUCGAGAGGGAAACAACCCAGACCACCAUCUAAGGUCCCUAAGCGCGUGCUAAGUGGAAAAGGAUGUGGAGUUGCUUAGACAACCAGGAGGUUGGCUUAGAAGCAGCCACCCUUGAAAGAGUGCGUAAUAGCUCACUGGUCAAGUGAUUCCGCGCCGACAAUGUAACGGGGCUCAAGCACGCCACCGAAGUUGUGGCAUUGACAUUUUUGGUAGGCCUUCGUGGUCCAGCCGUGUUGAUGGGUAGGAGAGCGUCGUGUGGCGGGUGAAGCGGCGGAGUGAUCCAGCCGUGGACGCCACACGAGUGAGAAUGCAGGCAUGAGUAGCGAAAGACGUGUGAGAAACACGUCCUCCGGAAGACCAAGGGUUCCAGGGUCAAGCUAAUCUUCCCUGGGUAAGUCGGGACCUAAGGCGAGGCCGACAGGCGUAGUCGAUGGACAACGGGUUGAUAUUCCCGUACCGGCGAAGAACCGCCCACACGAGAUCAGGAGUGCUAACCGUCCGAAGUCACCCACCGGACCCUUCGGGGUUCAUCGGGUGAUGGAGCACGGGACCCCAUCUGGUGGAGUGAGCGUAUUAACAGGUGUGACGCAGGAAGGUAGCCCAUGCCAGGCGAUGGUUGUCCUGGUGCAAGUGCGUAGGCCGAGUCAUAGGCAAAUCCGUGACUCAUUGAGGCUGAGACACGAUGCGGAUGAAAAGUGGGUGAUCCUAUGCUGCCGAGAAAAGCAUCGACGCGAGGUUCCAGCCGCCCGUACCCCAAACCGACUCAGGUGGUCAGGUAGAGAAUACCAAGGAGAUCGAGAGAAUCGUGGUUAAGGAACUCGGCAAAAUGCCCCCGUAACUUCGGGAGAAGGGGGGCCAUCCACUUAUACCAGCUUGCCUGGAAAAGGGUGUGGUGGCCGCAGAGACUAGUGGGUAGCGACUGUUUACUAAAAACACAGGUCCGUGCGAAGACGCAAGUCGAUGUAUACGGACUGACGCCUGCCCGGUGCUGGAAGGUUAAGAGGACCGGUUAGCCCUUUUGGGCGAAGCUGAGAAUUUAAGCCCCAGUAAACGGCGGUGGUAACUAUAACCAUCCUAAGGUAGCGAAAUUCCUUGUCGGGUAAGUUCCGACCUGCACGAAUGGCGUAACGACUUCCCAACUGUCUCAACCGCGAACUCGGCGAAAUUGCAUUACGAGUAAAGAUGCUCGUUACGCGCAGCAGGACGGAAAGACCCCGUGACCUUUACUACAGCUUGGUAUUGGUGUUCGGUGUGGCUUGUGUAGGAUAGGUGGGAGACUGUGAAGCGGGUACGCCAGUAUUCGUGGAGUCAUUGUUGAAAUACCACUCUGGUCACUCUGGAUAUCUAACUUCGAACCGUGAUCCGGUUCAGGGACAGUGCCUGGUGGGUAGUUUAACUGGGGCGGUUGCCUCCCAAAAAGUAACGGAGGCGCCCAAAGGUUCCCUCAACCUGGUUGGCAAUCAGGUGGCGAGUGUAAGUGCACAAGGGAGCUUGACUGUGAGACUGACAGGUCGAGCAGGGACGAAAGUCGGGACUAGUGAUCCGGCAGUGGCUUGUGGAAGCGCUGUCGCUCAACGGAUAAAAGGUACCUCGGGGAUAACAGGCUGAUCUUGCCCAAGAGUCCAUAUCGACGGCAUGGUUUGGCACCUCGAUGUCGGCUCGUCGCAUCCUGGGGCUGGAGUAGGUCCCAAGGGUUGGGCUGUUCGCCCAUUAAAGCGGUACGCGAGCUGGGUUUAGAACGUCGUGAGACAGUUCGGUCCCUAUCCGCUGCGCGCGUAGGAAGUUUGAGAGGAUCUGACCCUAGUACGAGAGGACCGGGUUGGACGAACCUCUGGUGUGCCAGUUGUUCCGCCAGGAGCACCGCUGGUUAGCUACGUUCGGGAUGGAUAACCGCUGAAAGCAUCUAAGCGGGAAGCCGGCCUCAAGAUGAGACUUCCAUGCCCCUUGUGGGUGAGAGGCUCCCAGCCAGACUACUGGGUUGAUAGGCCAGAUGUGGAAGCACGGCAACGUGUGCAGCUGACUGGUACUAAUAAGCCGACGACUUGAUAACACUCC
rnacentral:rRNA from 1 species